rnacentral:rRNA from 1 species
GGGUGAGUAAUGCCUAGAUAUCUGCCUAGUCGUGGGGGAUAACAGUUGGAAACGACUGCUAAUACCNSAUACRCCUAMGGGGGAAANGGGGGGACCUUCGGGCCUUUYGCGAUUAGAUGAGUCUAGGUGGGAUUAGCUAGUAGGUKAGGUWAUGGCUUACCUWGGCGWUGAUCCCNAGCUNGUCUGAGAGGAUGAUUAGCCACWCUGGAACUGAGACNCGGUCCNGNCUCUACGGGAGGCAGCAGUGGGGAAUAUUGCACAAUGGCGAAAGCCNNAUGCAGCCAUGCHGHGUGUGUGAAGAAGGCUUCGGGUUGUAAAGCACUUUCAGCGAGGAGGAAAGGUAGGUAGUUAAUAACUGCUUACUGUGACGUUACUCGCNGAAGAAGCACCGGCUAACUUCGUGCCAGCHGCCNCGGUHAUACGAGGGGUGCHAGCGUUAAUCGGAAUUACUGGGCGUAAACCGUACGCAGGCGGUUUGUUAAGCCAGAUGUGAAAGCCCUGGGCUCNACCUAGGNAUUGCAUUUGGNACUGACAGACUNGAGUCUUGUAGAGGGGGGUAGAAUUUCAGGUGUAGCGGUGAAAUGCGUAGAGAUCUGAAGGAAUACCNGUGGCGAAGGCGGCCCCCUGGACAAAGACUNACGCUYAUGUACGAAAGCGUGGGGAGCAAACAGGAUUAGAUACCCUGGUAGUCCACGCCGUAAACGAUGUCUACUCGGAGUUUGGUAACUUAGUUACUGGGCUCCUAACGUAACGCAUUWAUGUAGVCGVYUGGGGAGUACGGCCGCAAGGUUAAAACUCAUAAUNAAUUGACGGGGGCNGCACAAGCGGUGGAGCAUGUGGUUUAAUUCGAUGNAACGCGAAGAACCUUACCUACUCUUGACAUCCACAGAACUUACCAGAGAUGGUUUGGUGCUUCCGGAACUGUGAGACAGGUGMUGCAUGGNNGUHGUCAGCUNGUGUUGUGAAAUGUUGGGUUAAGUCCCGCAACGAGCGCWACCCUUAUCCUUAUUUGCCAGCNHUUAUCGGNHACUUUHGGGAGACUGCCGGUGAUNAACCGGAGGAAGGUGGGGACGACGUCNAGUCAUCAUGGNCCUUACGAGUAGGGCWACWCWCGUGAUACNAUGGUCGGUACAGAGGGUCGCAAAGCCGCGAGGUGGAGCUAAUCCCACAAAGCCNGUCGUAGUCCGGAUCGGAGUCUGCNACUCGACUCCGUGAAGUCGGAAUCGCUAGUAAUCGUGGAUCNGAAUGCCACGGUGAAUACGUUCCCGGGCNUUGUACNCACCGHHCGUCNCACCNUGGGAGUGGGCUGCACCAGAAGUAGAUAGCUUAACCUUUCGGGGAGGGNGUUUAC